GCAGUCGGACGGUCUGUCGCCGGUAUGUUUCAUACAGGAGGAAAGUCCGGGCAACACAGAGCAUCCUACUUCCUAACAGAAAGCUAUCCGCAAGGGUGGAGUAACGCAGAAGAAAAUAACCGCCUCGCUCCGCAAGGAAAAAGGCAAGGGUGAGAAGGUGGGGUAAGAGCCUACCAGCCGCAUGGCGACAUGCGGGCUGUGCGUCUUAGGAGUUGUAAGGUCAUGUAAACCGGCAUUAACGAGGGUUGCUCGCCCCACGUCGGAGGGUAGACCGCUGGAGUCUGCCGGUGACGGCAGAUGUAGAUAAAUGACAGACAUCCCUGCCCGUCAGGGAAACAGAACCCGGCUUACAGUCCGGCUGCAUCU
rnacentral:RNase_P_RNA from 2 species